rnacentral:rRNA from 1 species
UACGGAGGGUGCGAGCGUUGUCCGGAAUCACUGGGCGUAAAGGGCGCGUAGGUGGCGCGGGAAGUCAACGGUGAAAGUUCAGGGCUCAACCCUGAAUCGGCCGUCGAUACUCCCGGGCUUGAGCACUGUAGAGGCAGAUGGAAUUCCGGGUGUAGCGGUGGAAUGCGUAGAGAUCCGGAAGAACACCGGUGGCGAAGGCGGUCUGCUGGGCAGUUACUGACACUGAGGCGCGACAGCGUGGGGAGCAAACAGGG